UAGCUAGUUGGUGAGGUAAAGGCUUACCAAGGCGACGAUCUGUAGCGGGUCUGAGAGGAUGAUCCGCCACACUGGAACUGAGACACGGUCCAGACUCCUACGGGAGGCAGCAGUGGGGAAUUUUGGACAAUGGGGGCAACCCUGAUCCAGCCAUGCCGCGUGAGUGAAGAAGGCCUUCGGGUUGUAAAGCUCUUUCGGCCGGGAAGAAAUCGCAUGGGCCAAUACCCUGUGGAUGACGGUACCGGAAUAAGAAGCACCGGCUAACUACGUGCCAGCAGCCGCGGUAAUACGUAGGGUGCGAGCGUUAAUCGGAAUUACUGGGCGUAAAGCGUGCGCAGGCGGUUUUGUAAGACAGGCGUGAAAUCCCCGGGCUUAACCUGGGAACUGCGUUUGUGACUGCAAGGCUAGAGUACGGCAGAGGGGGGUGGAAUUCCACGUGUAGCAGUGAAAUGCGUAGAGAUGUGGAGGAACACCAAUGGCGAAGGCAGCCCCCUGGGUCGAUACUGACGCUCAUGCACGAAAGCGUGGGUAGCAAACAGGAUUAGAUACCCUGGUAGUCCACGCCCUAAACUAUGUCAACUAGGUGUUGGGUGGGUAAAACCAUUUAGUACCGUAGCUAACGCGUGAAGUUGACCGCCUGGGGAGUACGGCCGCAAGGUUAAAACUCAAAGGAAUUGACGGGGACCCGCACAAGCGGUGGAUGAUGUGGAUUAAUUCGAUGCAACGCGAAAAACCUUACCUACCCUUGACAUGCCAGGAACUUGCCAGAGAUGGCUUGGUGCCCGAAAGGGAGCAUGGACACAGGUGCUGCAUGGCUGUCGUCAGCUCGUGUCGUGAGAUGUUGGGUUAAGUCCCGCAACGAGCGCAACCCUUGUCGUUAAUUGCCAUCAUUUAGUUGGGCACUUUAACGAGACUGCCGGUGACAAACCGGAGGAAGGUGGGGAUGACGUCAAGUCCUCAUGGCCCUUAUGGGUAGGGCUUCACACGUCAUACAAUGGUCGGUACAAAGGGUUGCCAAGCCGCGAGGCGGAGCCAAUCCCAGAAAGCCGAUCGUAGUCCGGAUUGCAGGCUGCAACUCGCCUGCAUGAAGUCGGAAUCGCUAGUAAUCGUGGAUCAGCAUGUCACGGUGAAUACGUUCCCGGGUCUUGUACACACCGCCCGUCACACCAUGGGAGCGGGCUCCGCCAGAAGUAGGUAGCCUAACCGCAAGGGGGGCGCUUACCACGGCGGGGUUCGUGACUGGGGUGAAGUCGUAACAAGGUAGCCGUAGGGGAACCUGCGGCUG
rnacentral:rRNA from 1 species